GGGCGGGCUGGAUCGGAGGCCCAACCCUGACCCGGGCCAGGACCCGCAGCCAGAGCCAGAUCUUGCCCCAGGCCGGCCCACCAGAACUCGGACGCCAGAUCCCGCCUGAACCCUGACCAGUCCGGACCUCGACUGGGCCCCGACCGUGGCCCAGACUGGCCCCAGAGCCGGCCCCCGCCUGGAGCCCGCCCUGCCCUCCUCCCUGCUGCCUCAUCACACAAUUUCAAGAACUAAGUGGCCGGAAGCGGUGGCUCACGCCGGUAAUCCCAGCAGGCCAAGGUUAUCUCAACUUCCAUCAGGCCUCAGCUGAAAGCUCAUCUGCCAAAACGCAUCAGCACUCAUGUAAAAUAAAAGGAGUAGGGAGGUGACUUUGUACACAUACUGUCCAGUGUUUGGCUGCCAGUUUCCCUCUUGUGUGUAACUAUUCUAGGUAUGACUCCUUGAGCAUGAAAUGAGGGGUAGAUAGAACAGCACAGCUGUUGGGCUAA
rnacentral:lncRNA from 1 species